UGGAUUAAAGGCAAUUGUGAAGAUACGUGGU
rnacentral:piRNA from 1 species